rnacentral:tRNA from 3 species
GCCCCCGUAGCCCAACCGGCAGAGGCAGGCGCCUUAAAAGCGCCUCAGUGCGGGUUCGAACCCCGCCGGGGGCACCA